rnacentral:lncRNA from 1 species
AUAUUCAUAAAUCACAAUUACAUCAUUCACAGUGAUAAACACUUCUUGGAUAUUUAAUCAAUACCAUAACACGGCCCUUGGCCCAUUAAUUUAUCCGGAAUAAUCACAACAUCAUAAUCAUGGCCUUAGGCCCAUAUACAUAUCCGGAACUCAUAUCAAUAAUCAUAUUUAUAAACCGUAGCAUAUCUAUAAUCAUCUCACAUAUAGGAGGCAUCUCACAUCUAGGAGACAUAAUAUCAACAAGUAUAUCACCUCUAUUAGACAUCUCAUAUCUAUAGGUUAUGCAUCAUGACCAAGAGGAAAAUCAUCUUUAUAAGCUCA